GCGGCUGCUGGCACGUAGUUAGCCGUCCCUUUCUGGUAAGCUACCGUCACAGGUGUGAACUUUCCACUCUCACACCCGUUCUUGACUUACAACAGAGCUUUACGAUCCGAAAACCUUCUUCACUCACGCGGCGUUGCUCGGUCAGGGUUGCCCCCAUUGCCGAAGAUUCCCUACUGCUGCCUCCCGUAGGAGU
rnacentral:rRNA from 1 species